UAUACGUUCGACAUAAACGUUACUUUGUCAUGACACAUAAAUAAAAUAUCAAUUCAUUUUCAAAAGAGUGAGGCUCGCUCACUGGCUGUGAACAAGGAUCCCAGGCGCUUACCUAUUUUGUCUCAACAGGUUGUGGAAUGGCAUGAAAAACUCACUCGUAUUUAAUGGCGAGAAACCAAAUCUUCCUUAAACUGAAGUAUGAAAAAGAAAUAAUUCUAAUAAAACAACAUUAAUGAACCUUACCAACGGAUAAAACAACUGGAGAGAGGAGAAGGAUAAAAGUUUUACUUGCGUUCUUCCUAACCGUCCGCACGUCAACGAAAGCUUUCAGUGAAUAACAAAGGAACAAAUAAUACCAUUGGAUGAGGGACGAUGACCGUCCUGCUGAUGGGAGGGGUUAACCGGAAACGGAAAUUUCAUUUUCCACGCAUAUCCGCUUCCCCCGUUUCCGGUGCUUCCUCAAGGUCAAACAACCAUGUUUUAUUGUGUUUUAUUUACAUUUCACACCAAAAGUAGGUUCAAAUCAAAAGUAGAUUGUUCUCUCCUUCUCUUUCGAUCAAUGAGAGAAUUUCGUUUAUCUCGUUUUCUUAUGUUUUCUUGGCUCAGAAUCAGAGGUAUCCCGUUGUAAAUUGAACUUUACAACUGUCAUGCGAUCAUUGUUAUGUUCUCUUGCAAGGUGAAGUUCAGGUGAAGCCGGAUGGAGUGUUCAACUGACCCUCAGGAUUAUUUCUUGGAUAUAUCAUCCUGGAAAUAUUUGCUGCCAGCAAUCACAAAUUCUUCUUCGGGCCCAGUGACUCUCUGCAGCGGAAUUACUUAAGCCUACCUAAUGGAAGUCCUCAAGGAAAGUUUUGCUGUCAUCAUUUCCUGUAGCAAGAUACUUCUCCUAUCACAGGCCAAGAUGAAAGGAGGCAGAGGGGGAAUGACGAUAUCUUGACAAAUAUGGCAUCAGGCCAAGAGCGAUGGCUAUAGCUGUCAGUUACCAGUUGACUCUGCAACAAGGAUGGAUUUUACAACCAACGGUGAAAGAAUAAAGUAAAUUUUAAGAUAAAUUCUAAGGAAGAUGUUUGAAUUCUGAAGAUGCUGAUAACCGAAAGGAUAUACAAGAAGUAAAUCAGGAUGUACUCAAGCUAAAAUAAACCCUCAGAGUUGAUUUCCAGAAUUUCCGUUGUGUGAUUCAUCUUCCUCGUGAAAAUUUGAAGAGGAUUUAUGCUGUGCAGUGCUUCAAUUCACUCCUUGUUUAGUGACCUAUUCUCGACAAAAGCUUGUUUUACACUUCAAACCACCCAGCUGAAAGUGAGAGCAUUUUCCAUUUAAGUUUUUAACCGCCCAGCUGAUGGAUAUCGUUACAGUUUACUUACAAAUGACCAACACAGGGGAGAAAAUAUUAUAUCAUCCGAAGCUGCGGUUAUCAUGAACAAGAGAAUGUGCAGUAAAGCUUUGUUUACUCCAACUGCAACGUGCUGAAGGAAUGUCUUUUGCUGUCAUUUUGUUGGAGAAUGGUGCACUUAUAAAACGACAUGUAUGAAACAUUGGUAUCCAAUGAUGAUUGGAUUGGAAAAAACAUACGGCCAGUGGCUUUCCCUGACCAAAAAAUUAUGGACAUGGAAAUUAUUAGUCUCAUCCGACACAGAACACAAUUAACAACUAAAAUUGUUUAAGUAUUUUGGAACAGGCACCUUGCAGGAGUGGAAUACUCAUUUGCCAGAACUCUGCAAAGCGCCCUCAAUUUUGCUUGAUACCCUCAGCUUCACUCCUGUGUCAGUUUAGAUGCUAAGCCCAACCGAAUAUCUCUACAUAUCUCUAUAUAAUCUCUCUAUAUGUGCCCCCUCUUUAACUAUUUUUUUGUUAUUUUCCCCAAAUUGUUUCCAAACCAUUGACCCAUUGUCCCAUUGGUGUAUGAAGCUUAAAGUUGCUAUUUUCCAUCCUCUUAAUUAAGACAGAGCCAUAAGUUACAAAAUGUGCAUUUAGUUAAGGACACAAUAGUGAGGAAUAUAAUUUUUAAAACAUCCCACUUUUCUUCAGAAUAAUGUAAGAAAAUUCUCUCUCUAUGGCUGUCUAUGUGAAUUAUCAGAUAGUUUAUUUGAUCAUGAACUGUGGUGGAUUCAGAAAGUGGCUUUAGAAAAGUCCAUAAGGGCCUUCCUCCCCUUUUGGAACAGUAAUAAAUGCUACAAUUUGAAGAAUUUACUCCUACAAAUUGAAAUUUAUUGAAGCUCAACUCUGCAGCUUAAAUAUCAUUCUUCUUCUCCUUCUAAAAACGACUCAGGCAUAGCCCUAUUUAUCAGGCCAUUUAGUAUUUGGCACAUUAACUCAUAUAAAUAAAUAUUAUAAAACUAAAUAUUGUCGUUCAAAAUCGACAGAUUUCACACAUUUCAGUGAAUUUCUCAAGAGCAUUCGUUUCUUAAAGAAAAGGUAUUAACACAUGAAGAAAUGAGACAAAUUAAUUCAGCAGUCCUAUCUACUUACCUCCAUUAUCAUUAUCUACUCAUUUUCUAGCAGGGUGAAGAAUCAGGAUUUUUUUCUGAUCCCAUAUUUUUGUUCAGAAACGAAAUAGAUGAUGACUUUGCCAUCAUUCGUAAAAAUUCAACUCGAGACUGACAAUUCCUUUAGAGGGAGAAAGAACUUUCUGCAAAAUGUAAACAGAGGGCCGUUAAAGACAGAAAUGAAGAAACGGAUCCCAGCUCCCGCAUAAGGCACAGAUUAUUCAUAAUGUUUAAAAUAAGUGUAAAACAAUUAAUUCAUUUGUCGAGGAAUUCUUCAACAGAUAAAAUGACCAAAUAAAUAUAAAACGUUAGAUGAUUAGAUUUAUCCAGAAAUAGAGCAAAUACUGUAAAGUUAUGAGUGAGUGAAGAUUAGUCAAUAAAACUAAUUAUUUAGAAUAAGCAAAUCACUCAUUGGCUCAGAAAGAUUGUAUGCAUAAAAGCCUGUAAUAGUAUGUUUCUUUUAUUGACUAAAAAAUCUCCUUAAAGGGCGUAGCAUCUAGCAUGAUUUUGCAGUUACAGUUUUUAAAAUUGGAAUUUGUUGUAUACUAUUUUCCACGUUAAAUCAUUUGAUGAAUACCUAUUUUCUAGCCAUGGCCAUGAAAAUCAUGUAUCAGCAUUCAAAAUAUUUCUUGCUGUAUUACCCUUCCAGUCAUCUGCUUUUGCGUAGAGGACUUCUUCGUUUUUCUUAUUUUUUUUGUUAUUUUUAGCAGCUGAUGUUCAUUCAGACAUUUUAGCUCCUUUUUGAGUCAAUUUCAUCAUGCAGGCUCUCUGUUGUGUUUCUGUCUUUAAUUAGAUACCUAUUUGUUACUUUUGAAUAAAUUGUUUUGAAUAAAUCGGUGUUUGAAAUUCUUCAGAGCCUACCUCAAUCAAAUCUUCGCGUGAUCGAAAACAACUAUUGUCCUGUUAAUGUGAACGUAAAACUAAAAAAUAAAGCUUAUUAUAACCAAAAAGAAUUUUAAAGGAACUUGUAUAAUUUCAAUUUGCUUAAAUUGUUGUAUAAAUUGUGAAUUUGA